ACCCGCAUAGCUCAGUCGGUAGAGCAUCAGACUUUUAAUCUGAGGGUCGCGGGUUCAAGUCCCUCUGCGGGCG
rnacentral:tRNA from 1 species